rnacentral:rRNA from 1 species
CUUAAUCCUAGAGGGUACUAAGUAAGCAUAAUCUGAUGCCGUUUGAUUGGCGGAGAGUUGAAUGGAUUAACGAGUGCAUACCUGUCUUAUCAAAAGAAAAAUUUAAUUAGACAUUUAAGUGAAGAGGCUUAAAAUAAUAGAAAGACGAGAAGACCCCGUGAAGCUUUACUAUAAACUAACUUUAUAAAUUUUUUCUUUAUUUUUUUUUUUAUUAAAUUAGCCAAUUUUGUUUAUUAUUAGUAGUUAGUUUGGUAGUUUGGGUGGGGCGCCCGCACUUUAAUAAAAACAAGUAGUUGAUAACAUAAUUAUUAAAACUAUAUAAAUUACUUUUUUAUUUAGGGUUAUUUUACUAUCAAAAACCCUUACUAUUUAAAUAAUAGUAGGUCAUAGAAUAAUAGCUACUCCGGGGAUAACAGG